rnacentral:rRNA from 1 species
GAUGAACGCUGGCGGCGUGCCUAAUACAUGCAAGUCGAGCGAACAGACGAGGAGCUUGCUCCUCUGACGUUAGCGGCGGACGGGUGAGUAACACGUGGAUAACCUACCUAUAAGACUGGGAUAACUUCGGGAAACCGGAGCUAAUACCGGAUAAUAUAUUGAACCGCAUGGUUCAAUAGUGAAAGACGGUUUUGCUGUCACUUAUAGAUGGAUCCGCGCCGCAUUAGCUAGUUGGUAAGGUAACGGCUUACCAAGGCAACGAUGCGUAGCCGACCUGAGAGGGGGAUCGGCCACAAUGGAACUGAGACACGGGCCAGACUCCUACGGGAGGCAGCAGUAGGGAAUCUUCCGCAAUGGGCGAAAGCCUGACGGAGCAACGCCGCGUGAGGGAUGAAGGGCUUCGGAUCGUAAAACUCUGUUAUUAGGGAAGAACAAAUGUGUAAGUAACUAUGCAAGGCUUGACGGUACCUAAUCAGAAAGCCAAGGCUAACUACGUG